ACCCAGGGAUCCCACAGUCCCAGAAACUUCCGGCAAAAGGAAAGGACCGUGCGUUGUGGAUGGUAGAUGGAAACUCCCAUUCUCCAAGCUCAGCUCUCCCCUCAGCAGGGGGGGCGCAGUGACCCUCAGCUUCUUACUGGCCCUGAGAGGCCUCUCAGGAGGCACCUGCUCUGAUGGGGAUGGAGUGGAGGGUGCUGGAAAAGAAUGGGUAUCUGUUUUCAAAGCUAAUGUUGCUCAUUCCCAAAUCUCAGUGCUUCCAUCUGGCCCCAGGAGCUGUGCUUGACCAAGGACCGGUGCCUUUCCCUCUAGAAAUACCACUAGAGGCUGGCAAAAAUGCACAUCAGGCCUCCGAGUGUCCUGGCUGCCCGAGAUGAGGUUGGACUUCCGAUGGUGUGUGCCUGCUGCCGUGCCUUGCUCCCCUUACCACCGUUCAGCAACGCGGGAAGCUGGGAAGCAUUUUAUGACCACCUGGAAGACAGCCCCAGAGAUGUCCAAGCUCACUGUGCUAUCGAGGACCUAGAAGCAACUGAAGAUGCCGCUCAGGGGGAAAGUCAAAGGAGGAGAAUGCUGGGGCACCCACAGAACCGUCAACAGUAAUGCAGGAUUUGGAAGUUGAUAAGAAGACAGGUGGCCUUGAUGCAGGCACCCUGGCUGUGUCGGUCAUCUGUGGCUGUGUAACAAACGCCGCAAAGCCGAGAAGCGCAAAACAGG